rnacentral:rRNA from 1 species
UACGUAGGGUGCAAGCGUUGUCCGGAAUUAUUGGGCGUAAAGAGUGUGUAGGCGGUGCUCUAAGUUCGGUGUGAAAUCUCCUGGCUCAACUGGGAGGGUGCGCCGGAAACUGGAGUGCUUGAGCGUGGGAGAGGAAAGCGGAAUUCCUGGUGUAGCGGUGAAAUGCGUAGAUAUCAGGAGGAACACCUGUGGUGUAGACGGCUUUCUGGACCAUAGCUGACGCUGAGACACGAAAGCGUGGGUAGCAAACAGG